AUACAAAAACAUAAAAACAUCGACUGUUUUAUAUUUUGGCUAGUCGUUCACGUAAACUUUGGUCGGUUUGGGGUGGACGACUUCUUUUUUAUUUUGCU
rnacentral:antisense_RNA from 23 species